UACGGAGGGUGCGAGCGUCGUCCGGAAUCACUGGGCGUAAAGGGCGCGUAGGCGGCUUCGCUAGUUGGGCGUGAAAUGCCUGGGCUUAACCCAGGAAUUGCGCCCAAUACUUCGAGGCUCGAGUGUGGGAGAGGAUAGUGGAAUUCCCAGUGUAGAGGUGAAAUUCGUAGAUAUUGGGAAGAACACCAGCGGCGAAGGCGGCUAUCUGGACCACAACUGACGCUGAGGCGCGAAAGCGUGGGGAGCAAACAGG
rnacentral:rRNA from 1 species